CAUCUGACCUGGAAACUUUUGUUUUUAGCCUGGACAUAACUUCGGCUAGCUAGUAAAGUUAGCUAACUUGUUCUCCACCGGCGCCACAGAAAUAUUCUAUUUAAACCUAUUUAACUCCUCAUUAAUGAUGUUUACGACAGAACAGCAGUUUGAAGCGGAGCCUCAGCCCGCACACCUGCCGUUACAGCUCGUUCAAUCUCCGCUAACGGGAGGGAGUCGGAGCUGACGGCCAUGAUGGCUUCGACUUUAGGUCCAACUUUGGUAACUUCAGUCACCGACUGUGAUGUGGUGGACUCCUCUUCACCUCCACCCAUACCAAGCAUCAUCAGAAUGCACGAGCGAAACUGAAAGUCUGGUCCACAGGAGCACUGGAGGCCUUCUGGGAUAUACCUGGAGGAGUAGUCACAGGCACAAUGAGUGUGAAGCCCCUGUUUCGUUUUAGCAUGUAGUUUUUGCUUGUUGCAUACCUGCUCCAUCCUACCAGUGGAGGAA